rnacentral:rRNA from 1 species
UACGUAGGGCGCAAGCGUUAUCCGGAAUUAUUGGGCGUAAAGAGCUCGUAGGCGGUUUGUCGCGUCUGCCGUGAAAGUCCGGGGCUCAACUCCGGAUCUGCGGUGGGUACGGGCAGACUAGAGUGAUGUAGGGGGAGACUGGAAUUCCUGGUGUAGCGGUGAAAUGCGCAGAUAUCAGGAGGAACACCGGUGGCGAAGGCGGGUCUCUGGGCCGAUACUGACGCUGAGGAGCGAAAGCGUGGGGAGCGAACAGG